rnacentral:rRNA from 1 species
UACGGGGGGGGGCAAGCGUUGUUCGGAAUUACUGGGCGUAAAGGGCGCGUAGGCGGCCUGACGAAGUCGAAUGUGAAAUUUCAGGGCUUAACUCUGAACGGUCGUUCGAUACUGGUCGGCUAGAGUGUGGAAGAGGAUGCUGGAAUUCUCGGUGUAGCGGUGAAAUGCGUAGAUAUCGGGAGGAACACCAGCGGCGAAGGCGGGCAUCUGGGCCAACACUGACGCUGAGGAGCGAAAGCGUGGGGGAGCGAACAGG